GACGAACGCUGGCGGCGUGCUUAACACAUGCAAGUCGAACGGAAAGGCCCUGCUUUUGUGGGGUGCUCGAGUGGCGAACGGGUGAGUAACCCGUGAGUAACCUGCCCUUGACUUUGGGAUAACUUCAGGAAACUGGGGCUAAUACCGGAUAGGAGCUCCUGCUGCAGGGUGGGGGUUGGAAAGUUUCGGCGGUGGGGGAUGGACUCGCGGCUUAUCAGCUUGUUGGUGGGGUAGUGGCUUACCAAGGCUUUGACGGGUAGCCGGCCUGAGAGGGUGACCGGCCACAUUGGGACUGAGGUACGGACCAGACUCGUACGGGAGGCAGCAGUGGGGAAUAUUGCACAAUGGGCGGAAGCGUGAUGAAGCAACGCCGCGUGCGGGAAGACGGCCUUCGGGGUGUAAACCGCUUUCGCCUGUGACGAAGCGUGAGUGACGGUAAUGGGUAAAGAAGCACCGGCUAACUACGUG
rnacentral:rRNA from 1 species